rnacentral:rRNA from 1 species
GACGAACGCUGGCGGCGUGCUUAACACAUGCAAGUCGAACGGUGAAAGCGGAGCUUGCUCCGCUGGAUCAGUGGCGAACGGGUGAGUAACACGUGGGCAACCUGCCCCUCACUUCGGGAUAACUCCGGGAAACCGGGGCUAAUACCGGAUAUGACCUUCUUGGGCAUCCUUGGAGGUGGAAAGUUUUUCGGUGAGGGAUGGGCCCGCGGCCUGAUCAGCUUGUUGGUGAGGUAGUGGCUCACCAAGGCGACGACGGGUAGCCGGCCUGAGAGGGCGACCGGCCACACUGGGACUGAGACACGGCCCAGACUCCUACGGGAGGCAGCAGUGGGGAAUAUUGCGCAAUGGGCGAAAGCCUGACGCAGCAACGCCGCGUGCGGGAUGACGGCCUUCGGGUUGUAAACCGCUUUCAGCAGGGAAGAAGCCGCAAGGUGACGGUACCUGCAGAAGAAGCACCGGCUAACUACGUGCCAGCAGCCGCAGUAA